GCACCCCCAGUUUUUCCAUCCUCCUCAUUCGUCUAGGGGCACCCGAAUCCCCUAUUCCUUAUUUCCCCUAUCACUCAGGCACUGGCAGGGUCCUUUUCCCACUCCUGUUGGCCGCCGCGGCUCCAAAGCGAGCUGGGCAGAUGUGCCUGAGACAGGUUUGACCAGGCAACUGAAAAUAUAUCCCUAAGAGAAGACAAAACAAAGAUAUGAAAGGAACACACUUCCCUGACUGACUAGGAGGAACAGAGCUGCCUGCUGACUGGAACCGCUUCCUCCCAGACUAAGGUUUCCCAGAGGAAGAGAGAGAAUUUGGACAAAUGAAUGAGGAACAACGCUCUCCUGAGGGUUUUCUUUAAGGGGCAAGGAUCAAUGCCUCUAGAUCCUUUGAAAGCAGAGUUAAGAGGCAGUGCAGGAAGGCACAGCAGGAAGGUUCAUGGUUAGACUACAGAGAAGGAAGCAGCCACUGCUGGGGACCUACCCUGUGCUGGUCACUGACAAGCUGUCUCAUUAAACCUUCCCGGACCCUCAACCCCUCCUAGUAUCUUAUCCUCAUUUUACAGAUGAGAAGACUGCGGCCCAAAGAGGUCCAAUGCCAGUGGGAUCAGCUUCGAUGGGAUGCGCACAGACUGACCUCUUCUCCCCAGCCCCUUCAACUUCCCAGAGCUGCAGGGGGCCUGGGAGUUCUUGGUAACAGCACAUUAAACCUCUGUUUGUGGGAA